rfam:Flavobacterium sp. LPB0076 LPBF13, whole genome shotgun sequence.
AAAGUGGAAACCGAAAAACUAAAGAGUAGGUA